GCAAGUCGAGGGGUAACAUUGUGCUUGCACAGAUGACGACCGGCGCACGGGUGCGUAACGCGUAUGCAACCUACCUUGUACAGGGGGAUAGCCCAGAGAAAUCUGGAUUAAUACCGCAUAAUUUGAUUGAUUCGCAUGGACCGAUUAUUAAACCUUCGGGGGUACAAGAUGGGCAUGCGUAGCAUUAGUUAGUUGGUAAGGUAACGGCUUACCAAGACUAUGAUGCUUAGGGGGUCUGAGAGGAUAGUC
rnacentral:rRNA from 1 species